AUUUAAUAUAUUGCUCUUAUUAUUUUGUCCAUGGCUGGGAAGACAAACUCUAGGAAUAUGAACAGUCAUGGUCGCUCCGAGGCAAAUGUGUCACCCAUUGGCCAGUAUCAGUUCCCCGCCUGCAUGUAUGAAGCAGCAGGAGUGCCAGCAGAGAUACGGAGCGAUCACAGCUCUGAAGAAGCCACCGGCACGUGGAGGAAGAGGAGGAACAGAGAAACGCAGUGAACGUGAGAAAGAUGCUCUCCAGUGGCCACAUCUCCACAGUGAGACGGAAAUCAGGAGGACAGAGAGGUCUGGAGGAGACAAGAGACUUCAAUCUGGAUCAUUUCUUAAUAUUGAAUGUGUUGUGCUCUGAAAGUUAAACUCCAGAAGAAAAGUUAAUAACAGCCUCACUUGCUUGACUGCUUCAGGAGACACGUUGGUUUCUGUGGAUGCAUUUUACCUGCAGGACAUGCACAAGACUCGAAGAGACAGCACUGAGUAUUUAAAAUGAUGGAAAGAUUGUCUGUUUGGCACAUUUAGCAGUCCAAAAUAUCCUGUCAUGGAGGCGAAUGCCAAUCGGGAAGCCUGCCUGUGUGCCUCCACCUCCCCGACCCCACCAGCAAACCUUGAGCUCAAGCACGGUCACGCGGUCCGUUUCAAGAAAGUGUGUCGAAUCGAAGAGGAAAGUUUGAGCCCGUUUCCCGGACUGCCGGCAGGUGUGUUGGAAAUGAAGGUGAAAGAGGGCAGCAAAAUUCGCAAUCUCAUGGGAUUUGCCAUGACACGUAUGCAGGACGAGGCCCGCGACGGUGGUCAGACGGGACUGAGACGGGUCGUGUUCAGUGGGUCGGGCCGAGCCGUCACCAAAACCAUCACCUGUGCCGAGAUCAUGAAGAGGAAGAUCGGUGGUCUUCAUCAGAUUACCAAACUGCAAUACAAGAGUGUACGAGAGGUCUGGGAGAGUCAGGAAGGAGGAGACUCUGAGAUGACCGUACACCGGACUCUUCCAUCCAUCAGCAUUCUGCUCUCCAAAGAUCCUCUUGAUCCUCUAGAACCGGGAUAUCAGCCUCCGGAGACUGUCUGGGAUGAGAGAAAUGGAGAAGAGGCUUCAUGUGCGAUGGAGAAAAGAUCUAUAGACUCAUUUGGUUCUCUGGUAGAGCCACAGGCAAAAAAACAGUGCCUAUGAGCUUUAUGGAUACGUGUGACGGCCAACAACAACCAAUGAAGGCACUCGAUCGGUUCUCAUCCAGAGAAUCUAUCGGAUGGGGGGCCCCAUACAUACCAUCGCCUUGGGGCCCCAAUUUGCUAAAUCCGCCACUGCUUGUGAGAUGUCUGAUAUUCCAUCAUGUAAGCAAAGUCAACAGUGAUUACAAGCUGUUUGCUUUCAUUUAUUGAUUUAUUUCAUUAAAAUGUAUUUCAUUUAUUUUUGGGCUGUGGUUAGACAUCACUGACAGUCCAAAUUUUCCCUUGAUUAAACACCUUUAAAUUUCUUGCUGGGUGUUAACAUUUACUUUUCUUAUCACAGCAAAUCAAAUCUGACCUACAUGAAGAGAAACAGUUGGAUGGUUGUGUGUGUGAGUCUCAUGAAUCUGUAUUUAUUUGCUGAAAAUGGUUUUUGACCCUUUAUUAUCUUCCUUUAUUGUUGACAGUUGAGCAUCUUUUCUUUAAAACACUCAUUGCUGAAAUAAGGCCAAAUCAUUUAUACUUGUUAUGUAAAUAAUAUUAUUUAAAAGUUACAAUCUGCAUAAUAUCAUUUUGAAAAUAUGCAACAUUUUAUUCUUUUGGGUUUUUUGGGGGUUGAAACCUGAGCAUGUUUUCACCUGAGAAUCACCUGUUCAGAGCAUCACGUUGUACAAACAUAAAUGUAUGUUUUAUGUAUGUUUUCUUCUGCAACUUUGGGUAAAUAAAUAAUUUGCUACUUGCAUAACAGUAAGAAAGAAACUUUACUGCUGUUCAACAUACUGACAAAACUUUCAGUGUUUAUA